GACGAACGCUGGCGGCGUGCUUAACACAUGCAAGUCGAACGGAAAGGCCCUGCUUGCAGGGUACUCGAGUGGCGAACGGUUGUGUAACACGUGGGUGAUCUGCCCUGCACUUCGGGAUAAGCCUGGGAAACUGGGUCUAAUACCGGAUAUUACUUUUCAUGUAUUGUGGGGGGUGGCUAGAUUUCUCGGUGUGGGAUGAGCCCGCGGCCUAUCAGCUUGUUGGUGGGGUAAUGGCCUACCAAGGCGUCGACGGGUAGCCGGCCUGCGAGGGUGGACGGCCACAUUAGGACUGAGAUACGGCACAGACUCCUACGGGAGGCAGCAGAGGGGAAUAGUGCACAAUGGGCGGAAGCCUUAUGCAGCGACGCCGCGUGGGGGAUGACGGCCUGCGGGUUGUAAACCUCUUUCGACAGGGACGAAGCUUCGGUGACGGUACCUGUAUAAGAAGCACCGGCUAACUACGUG
rnacentral:rRNA from 1 species